rnacentral:rRNA from 1 species
AUUGAACGCUGGCGGCAGGCCUAACACAUGCAAGUCGAGCGGAUGAAGGGAGCUUUCGCCUGGAUUCAGCGGCGGACGGGUGAGUAAUGCCUACGAAUCUGCCCUGUCGUGGGGGAUAACGUCCGUUAACGGGCGCUAAUACCGCAUACGUCCUGAGGUUGAACGUGGGGGAUCUUCGGACCUCACGCUAUCAGAUGAGCCUAGGUCGGAUUAGCUAGUUGGUGGGGUAAAGGCCUACCAAGGCGACGAUCCGUAACAGACCUGAGAGGGUGAUCAGUCACACUGGAACUGAGACACGGUCCAGACUCCUACGGGAGGCAGCAGUGGGGAAUAUUGGACAAUGGGCGAAAGCCUGAUCCAGCAAUGCCGCGUGUGUGAAGAAGGUCUUCGGAUUGUAAAGCACUUUAAGUUGGGAGGAAGGACAGUAAGAUAAUAUCUUGCUGUCUUGACGUUACCAACAGAAUAAGCACCGGCUAACUUCGUG